ensembl:snoRNA SNORD43 small nucleolar RNA, C/D box 43
CGCAGGUGAUGAACUCACUGACGGGCGGACAGAGUCCUUGUGCUGAUCGUCAGGUUCUGAUGGG